GGGGAUGUGGUGGAAUUGGCAGACACGCUAGAUUUAGGAUCUAGUGCCGCAAGGCGUGCAGGUUCAAGUCCUGUCAUCCCCAC
rnacentral:tRNA from 1 species